rnacentral:rRNA from 1 species
GAUGAACGCUGGCGGCGUGCCUAAUACAUGCAAGUCGAGCGAACGUACGAGAAGCUUGCUUUUCUGAUGUUAGCGGCGGACGGGUGAGUAACACGUGGAUAACCUACCUUUAAGACUGGGAUAACUUCGGGAAACCGGAGCUAAUACCGGAUAAUAUUUUGAACCGCAUGGUUCAAAAUUGAAAGACGGUCUUGCUGUCACUUAUAGAUGGAUCCGCGCUGCAUUAGCUAGUUGGUAAGGUAACGGCUUACCAAGGCAACGAUGCAUAGCCGACCUGAGAGGGGGAUCGGCCACACUGGAACUGAGACACGGUCCAGACUCCUACGGGAGGCAGAAGUAGGGAAUCUUCCGCAAUGGGCGAAAGCCUGACGGAGAAACGCCGCGUGAGUGAUGAAGGUCUUCGGAUCGUAAAACUCUGUUAUUAGGGAAGAACAUAUGUGUAAGUAACUGUGCACAUCUUGACGGUACCUAAUCAGAAAGCCACGGCUAACUACGUG